rnacentral:sRNA from 1 species
UUCUAAACCUGAUUGUAGCGAACACGGAGCGCAGCGGAGUAAAGCGAAAAGCAGGACUAACG